rnacentral:lncRNA from 1 species
GGAGGUUCCAAUUCAAGGAAGUUGAGGGCUCAGAGGAAAUAAUCGAGGCUGACCUUGUCCUGCUAGCCAUGGGAUUCCUUGGCCCUGAGUCGGUUAGUAUUGUGACUAUCUCUUUAUAUUUUUAAAAAUCUGGUGCAAUUCAUUGUCCUUUAAUUAAGAUACAUUUAUGUUGUAUGGUUUGAGCACCAUCCCUCAUCGAUUCUUUUGCUCUUUGAUUUGAACAGACACUGGCAGAAAAAUUAGGUGUGGAGCAAGACAAUCGAUCAAACUUAAAGGCAGAGUAUGGCCGCUUCACGACCAAUGUGGAUGGAGUCUUUGCAGCUGGAGAUUGUCGACGCGGUCAGUCGUUAGUCGUGUGGGCAAUCUCAGAAGGAAGGCAAGCUGCUGCACAAGUCGACAAAUACCUGACUAAGGAAGAUAAGGACACAAGUGUAGAGGGUGAGAACCAAGAUUCCGUCAAGCGGCACCAAGACCUUCCCCAAAAGCAGCAAACUGUCAUGAAAUAGAUGAUCCAUCAGAUUGUUAUUGUUUGCGACAUUGAGCUGAAAUGGAACCCGAAUCCAAUACAUUCCGAAGGAAAUUGGUAUAUUUACAUGGAUGACCAGAGUGGGAAUUAAAGCAUGAAUCUUUUGUGGUUAAACCAGCAAGGGGGAUAUAUGCUUUAAUCUCCCAUUAAAGAACCUAUAAGCAAAAAUCAAUAAACAUUCAUGGGGCUGAGCUGAUAUUUAGU